rnacentral:rRNA from 1 species
CACGCAGGCGGCCAACCAAGUCUGACGUGAAAGCUCCUGGCUUAACUGGGAGAGGUCGUUGGAAACUGAUUGGCUUGAGGCAAUGAGAGGGGUACGGAAUUCCAGGUGUAGUGGUGGAAUGCGUAGAUAUCUGGAGGAACAUCAGUGGCGAAAGCGGUACCCUGGCAUUGACCUGACGCUCAUGUGCGAAAGCGUGGGGAGCGAACG